AUUAUACUUGAAAGUAUAUGCCAUUUUCAACUAAAUCAACCUAUUCACAUGUAAAUAAUAAUAAAAAAAUUCCUUAUAUGCCAAAGAAGAAAAUGAAAUAAUAUUCCACGAAUUGUAUUCUAUUUCCAUAGUGAACCAAACAUGAACACCCAAAUUCAUUUGUGCCAUUCAUGGAUGUGCAAAACCUAUACCUUACAGAAG
rnacentral:misc_RNA from 1 species